AUGCAGCAGCGCAAGGCGCCCAAGGCGUGCGCGGAGGGCGUCACGGAGCAGGAGGCGUCACCGGCGGUCGUGCUGCCGAGGACCGCCACGGUGCGCGACUUGCUGGAGGCGGAGGAGGCUCCGGACCAGUGCUCCAUGACGCCGUGUGGCGAUGGCGAGCGCGCGGUCGGCCGCGUCGCGCACCUGGCACGCCGGGGAGGGGACGCCGCCCGCGGCGCGCACGGGGCGCAGCGCGUCGAGCAUCUCGUGCUCCCGUCGCGUCCGCCACUUGGGUGUCCACUCCGCCGGCUCCGCACUUGCGGCCCCUCUCGUCCGCGGCCGCCGCAAACACCGUGGUGGAGGUCGGCUCUGUUGUGGGGCGACGAGUACGAGGUCGACCCGGAGCUGCUGCUCUGGCUGGACCCACAGCCGCCAGAGCUGGUGCUGGGGUCUGACGUGGUGUACAUUGAGGAGGUCGUCGACGACCUAUUGGCCACGCUCACCUGGCUUGCCGGGCCGCGCACCACCGUAUUGCUCGCCGGCGAGCUCCGCAACGCCGUGCUCGAAGCUCGUUACGCCCGUGACAACCGGGGAGCCGUGAACGACGCACGCAAAUUUCUCCGCCUCUCGACCCGACCCGACCCGCUUUCCUCCGACGCCGUCUCCCUCUCCUGCGAUCUCCUCUACGACGAGCGACGCCACCUGCCUCAUCUCUCCUUGGCACCAGCAGCGACCCCGCCGCUCGCCUUCUCCGGUGAGGAGCCUCGCCUCACCUCGCAACCUCCGUCCUCCCCCAUCACCCUCCGUCCCGUCCAUCCCCAUAGCCGGCGAGACGUCACGACCUCACCUCCCAGUCCCCUGCUGUCCAGAUCUACCCGUCCCUACCCAUUGCUCCGUUCAAUUCGAUCCCAUCCCAUCCCAUCCCAUCCCAUCAUCUCUGGGUUUCGAUUCGAUUUGGUUGCAGCUGGUAGCUUCUAUCUUCGAUGCAGAGUCCUGAAUAGCUUGCUGCCGGUAGGGGCCAUUAAUCAGCUUCUGAGGAAACUAUUCAGAGCCAGUCUUCUUCUGUUCUACGGUUGUACUAGGGCGGAUCUCCUUCUCACAGGCGGAGAUUCCUGUUUGUCUGCGGCGCACUAUAGCUGGCGGUCCUCCAUAGCCAUGAGCAAGUUUGGGAAGGUCCUGGAAGCUGAUGUUAAAGUAGAAGCCAACAGCUAG
rnacentral:rRNA from 1 species